rnacentral:rRNA from 1 species
UACAGAGGGUGCGAACGUUGCUCGGAAUUACUGGGCGUAAAGCGCAUGUAGGCGGAUCCAUAAGUCGGGCGUGAAAUCCCCAGGCUCAACCUGGGAACUGCGCUCGAAACUGUGGGUCUCGAGUGUCGGAGAGGAUGGCGGAAUUCCUGGUGUAGAGGUGAAAUUCGUAGAUAUCAGGAGGAACACCGGUGCGAAGGCGGCCAUCUGGACGACGAACUGACGCU